rnacentral:tRNA from 1 species
GGGUAUAUAGCUCAGUGGUAGAGCUCAUGCUUAGCAUGCAAAGGUCCUGGGUUCAAUCCCCAGUAUCCCCA